AGCAGUAGCCACGGGAAUACGGAGGGAGCUAGCGUUGUUCGGAAUUACUGGGCGUAAAGCGCGCGUAGGCGGUUACUCAAGUCAGAGGUGAAAGCCCGGGGCUCAACCCCGGAACUGCCUUUGAAACUAGGUGACUAGAAUCUUGGAGAGGUCAGUGGAAUUCCGAGUGUAGAGGUGAAAUUCGUAGAUAUUCGGAAGAACACCAGUGGCGAAGGCGACUGACUGGACAAGUAUUGACGCUGAGGUGCGAAAGCGUGGGGAGCAAACAGGAUUAGAUCCCGGGUAGUCCCUGUCUCUUAUACA
rnacentral:rRNA from 1 species